GAUGAACGCUGGCGGCGUGCCUAACACAUGCAAGUCGAACGGAGCUGUUACGGACGGAGACUUCGGUCAAAGACUGUUUCAGCUUAGUGGCGGACGGGUGAGUAACGCGUGGGGAACCUGCCCUGUACUGGGGGAUAACAGAGGGAAGCUUCUGCUAAUACCGCAUAAGCGCACAGCACCGCAUGGUGCAGUGUGAAAAACUCCGGUGGUACAGGAUGGCUCCGCGUUGGAUUAGCUUGUUGGCGGGGUAACGGCCCACCAAGGCGACGAUCCAUAGCCGGCCUGAGAGGGUGAACGGCCACAUUGGGACUGAGACACGGCCCAGACUCC
rnacentral:rRNA from 1 species